UACGGAGGAUGCGAGCGUUAUCCGGAUUUAUUGGGUUUAAAGGGUGCGUAGGCGGACUGUCAAGUCAGCGGUAAAAUUGAGAGGCUCAACCUCUUCCCGCCGUUGAAACUGGUGGUCUUGAGUGGAUGAGAAGUACGCGGAAUGCGUGGUGUAGCGGUGAAAUGCAUAGGUAUCACGCAGAACUCCGAUUGCGAAGGCAGCGUACCGGCUUCCAACUGACGCUGAGGCACGAAAGCGUGGGGAUCAAACAGG
rnacentral:rRNA from 1 species